UACGAAGGGGGCUAGCGUUGCUCGGAAUUACUGGGCGUAAAGGGCGCGUAGGCGGGUCGUUUAGUUAGAGGUGAAAGCCCAGGGCUCAACCCUGGAAUUGCCUUUAAUACUGGCGGCCUUGAGUAUGGCAGAGGUGUGUGGAACUCCGAGUGUAGAGGUGAAAUUCGUAGAUAUUCGGAAGAACACCGGUGGCGAAGGCGGCGCUCUGGACCGAGACUGACGCUGAGGCGCGAAAGCGUGGGGAGCAAACAGG
rnacentral:rRNA from 1 species